rnacentral:tRNA from 2 species
GGCAACGUAGCCAAGUGGUAAGGCAGUGGUCUGCAAAACCACUAUUCACCGGUUCGAAUCCGGUCGUUGCCU